AGGACGGGGACUGCUGGAAAGAGAGGCCGUGGUGACAUAUUGCCACCUUGCGUCAGGAAAGAGCUACGUCGAAGAAUACGAGGCUGAGGGGAGGAGCUUUUUGUUAUGCACUGUGACAUGUGGAGGACCAAAAGGCAAAGAAUCGGUGAGAGAAGAAAGAGUCCCUGUUGCUUGGAGAUCAUUUGAAUCUCAGUGUGAAAACAGCCCCAGAGGAACCCAGGAGAUCAAAAACUAUAACUGGAACAGACUUCUCCAUUGUAUUUUUCUGCUUGGACCAGAACUAGGGGUAUGCAGAAAAUGCACAUACUGUACCUAGGGCGCAACAGAAAGGACACUGGGGUAGUACUUCAGCUACAAGACUACACCUUGUUCCAGCUGGCUGAGAGAGUGUUGACAUGAUGCUCUUCUUAUGAUAAUAGAUGAAGAACUUUGCAGUAUAGUUUUCUUUCAGGGUGCACAAUGUGUAAUUUACAGAUGCAGUAGUGGUUUGGAAGAUAAACACAUAUUUACUAAAAAAUAACCUUUAUUAAUUAUUAUUGUUAAAAUCAAAUGGAGUUAAAAUUAAAGCAAAAGAAAAGAAGGAAAGUUAAAAUAUAUACAAGCGUUAUGAGAGAUUCUACUAAAUUGUAUAGCUUAUAAAUCACAAACAAUGUUUCGGUUUGGUCACCAGCUGUCUACUAUAUUGUUAACAGUGUCUCAAGAAAAUCCUGAUACAGAGAGAUCAGAGAGAUAUAUCACUCUUAUCCACAUAGAAAAAUAAAGCAUCCUUUUAUUACCAA